rnacentral:rRNA from 1 species
UACGUAGGUGGCGAGCGUUAUCCGGAAUUAUUGGGCGUAAAGAGCGCGCAGGUGGUUGAUUGAGUCUGAUGUGAAAGCCCACGGCUUAACCGUGGAGGGUCAUUGGAAACUGGUCGACUUGAGUGCAGAAGAGGGAAGUGGAAUUCCAUGUGUAGCGGUGAAAUGCGUAGAGAUAUGGAGGAACACCAGUGGCGAAGGCGGCUUCCUGGUCUGUAACUGACACUGAGGCGCGAAAGCGUGGGGAGCAAACAGGAUUAGA